UACGUAGGGGGCAAGCGUUGUCCGGAAUCAUUGGGCGUAAAGCGCGUGUAGGCGGCCAGAAAAGUCCGCUGUGAAAACUCGAGGCUCAACUUCGAGCUGUCGGUGGAAACUUUCUGGCUAGAGUCCGGAAGAGGAGAAUGGAAUUCCUGGUGUAGCGGUGAAAUGCGCAGAUAUCAGGAAGAACACCUGUGGCGAAGGCGGUUCUCUGGGACGGUACUGACGCUGAGGAGCGAAAGCGUGGGGAGCGAACAGG
rnacentral:rRNA from 1 species